GCUUACGGCCACACCACCCUGAACGCGCCUGAGCUUGUCUGUUCUCAGAAGCAAAAGAGGGUUGGGCCUGGUCAGUACUUGGAGGGUUGACCGCCUGGGAAUACCAGGUGCUGUAAGCU
rnacentral:rRNA from 1 species